rnacentral:misc_RNA from 1 species
GAUGAAGAACGUAGCGAAAUGCGAUAAGUAAUGUGAAUUGCAGAAUUCAGUGAAUCAUCGAAUCUUUGAACGCACAUUGCGCCCCUUGGUAUUCCAUGGGGCAUGCCUGUUCGAGCGUCAUUUGUACCUUCAAGCUUUGCUUGGUGUUGGGUGUUUGUCCUCUCCCUGGUGUUAGGACUCGCCUUAAAACAAUUGGCAGCCAGUGUUUUGGUAUUGAAGCGCAGCACAAGUCGCGAUUCUAACCUAAUAACACUUGCGUCCACAAGCCUUUUUUCACUUUUGACCUCGGAUCAGGUAGGGAUACCCGCUGAACUUAAGCAUAUCAAUAAGCGGAGGA